rnacentral:rRNA from 1 species
UACGUAGGGUGCAGGCGUUGUCCGGAAUUAUUGGGCGUAAAGAGCUCGUAGGCGGUCUGUCGCGUCGGCUGUGAAAUCCCGAGGCUCAACCUCGGGUCUGCAGUCGAUACGGGCAAACUAGAGUAUUGCAGGGGAGACUGGAAUUCCUGGUGUAGCGGUGAAAUGCGCAGAUAUCAGGAGGAACACCGGUGGCGAAGGCGGGUCUCUGGGACGGUACUGACGCUGAGACGCGAAAGCGUGGGGAGCGAACAGG